rnacentral:rRNA from 1 species
UACAGAGGAUGCAAGCGUUAUCCGGAAUGAUUGGGCGUAAAGCGUCUGUAGGUGGCUUUUUAAGUCCGCCGUCAAAUCCCAGGGCUCAACUCUGGACAGGCGGUGGAAACUACCAAGCUGGAGUACGGUAGGGGCAGAGGGAAUUUCCGGUGGAGCGGUGAAAUGCGUAGAGAUCGGAAAGAACAUCGGUGGCGAAGGCGCUCUGCUGGACCAUAACUGACACUCAGGGACGAAAGCUAGGGGAGCGAAUGGG